UAGGGAAUCUUGCGCAAUGGGGGAAACCCUGACGCAGCGACGCCGCGUGCGGGAUGAAGGCCUUCGGGUUGUAAACCGCUUUCAGCAGGGACGAAAUUGACGGUACCUGCAGAAGAAGGCCCGGCCAACUACGUGCCAGCAGCCGCGGUAAUACGUAGGGGCCUAGCGUUGUCCGGAUUUAUUGGGCGUAAAGAGCUCGUAGGCGGUUCGGUAAGUCAGGUGUGAAAUCUCCACGCUCAACGUGGAGGCGCCACCUGAAACUGCCGUGACUCGAGUCCGGUAGGGGAGUGUGGAAUUCCCGGUGUAACGGUGAAAUGCGCAGAUAUCGGGAGGAACACCAGUGGCGAAGGCGGCACUCUGGGCCGGUACUGACGCUGAGGAGCGAAAGCGUGGGGAGCGAACAGG
rnacentral:rRNA from 1 species